rnacentral:lncRNA from 1 species
CCCUCGCUCUUGACCCUGCCAGUCUUUAAAACUCAGAUGAGCUGUCCUUAAUUCUUUUGUGUUUUCUUUGUCUAAUUUUUUGUGACUAUCAUCAGGCAACCUGGGACUUGAACAUCUCUUACCUAGAAUUGCAAAUUGGAUCACAUCUCCUUUAUCGGAAUCUUAUGUUUUUCACAAAAUGUUGUGUUGAAAGCUAGCUCCAUCCGAGCUGGAAAAGAUACAGACAUUGCAUCAUGGAAUUUAAGGCCUUAAAAUAUUACAUUUCAUGGGAUGCCCUUUUAUUUCUUCUAAAGCUCUUACUGAGCUUUUAGGACAGAUAUUUGCAGAGUAUGUCCUAUCCAUUUCUUCUUUUUCUUUUCUGAGGAGUACAACUUUUUAUCUGAAUGAGCCCUCCUUGGUGAAACUGAUGUUUCAAGUCAAGUUUCCACUACAGAGUAUCCUGGCAAUACAACCAGAUGAACGAUCAGUUUGCCCAUUAAUUUUGUUCUUUGUUUUGAAUAUGAAUACACUAGAGCAGUCAUGGGCUGGACGCAGUGGCUCACGACUAUAAUCCGAGCACUUUGGGAGGCCAAGGCUGGAGGAUCACUUGAGGUCAGGAGUUCAAAAUCAGCCUGGCCAACAUUGUGAAAUCCCAUCUCUACUAAAAACACAAAAAUUAUCUGGUGU